rnacentral:rRNA from 1 species
AUUGAACGCUGGCGGCAGGCUUAACACAUGCAAGUCGAGCGGAGAUGAGGUGCUUGCACCUUAUCUUAGCGGCGGACGGGUGAGUAAUGCUUAGGAAUCUGCCUAUUAGUGGGGGACAACAUUCCGAAAGGAAUGCUAAUACCGCAUACGCCCUACGGGGGAAAGCAGGGGAUCUUCGGACCUUGCGCUAAUAGAUGAGCCUAAGUCGGAUUAGCUAGUUGGUGGGGUAAAGGCCUACCAAGGCGACGAUCUGUAGCGGGUCUGAGAGGAUGAUCGGCCAAACUGGGACUGAGACACGGCCCAGACUCCUACGGGAGGCAGCAGUGGGGAAUAUUGGACAAUGGGCGGAAGCCUGAUCCAGCCAUGCCGCGUGUGUGAAGAAGGCCUUUUGGUUGUAAAGCACUUUAAGCGAGGAGGAGGCUACCUGGAUUAAUACUCUAGGAUAGUGGACGUUACUCGCAGAAUAAGCACCGGCUAACUCUGUGCCAGCAGCCGCCGUAACAC